rnacentral:misc_RNA from 1 species
GAAAUGCGAUAACUAGUGUGAAUUGCAGAAUUCCGUGAAUCAUCGAGUCUUUGAACGCACAUUGCGCCCCCUGGUAUUCCGGGGGGCAUGCCUGUCCGAGCGUCAUUGCUGCCCAUCAAGCACGGCUUGUGUGUUGGGUCGUCGUCCCCUCUCCGGGGGGGACGGGCCCCAAAGGCAGCGGCGGCACCGCGUCCGAUCCUCGAGCGUAUGGGGCUUUGUCACCCGCUCUGUAGGCCCGGCCGGCGCUUGCCGAACGCAAAUCAAUCUUUUUCCAGGGUGACCUCGGAUCAGGUAGGGAUACCCGCUGAACUUAAGC